ensembl:lncRNA
UCUCUCUCUCUCUCUCUCUCUCUCUCUCUCUCUCUCUCCCCUCGCUCCCUCUCUUUCAGCGAUCCCUGCUGGCUCUCUCUCACUCAGUCUCUCCCUCCCUCUCUUCCUCUAGCUGUGCUCUUUCUACUGCCUCUCGCUGUCUCUCUCUUCUCUCCCUCCCUCUCUUCUUUCACUCUCUCCCUCCUCUCUCCCUCCCUCCUGCGCUGCUUUCCCUACUGCCUCUCUCUCUGUCUCUCCCUCCCUCUCCUUUCCUCCCUCUGACUCCUUUCCCUCUUCUUCCUUUCUCUAUCUACUCUCCCUUAAUCCCUCUCUCCUUCCCCUUCCCUAUUUCUCUCUCUCUCCCUCUGUCUCUCCUCUCCCUCCCUACUUUAUCCCUCUCUCCUUCCUCCCUAUUUCUGCUCACUGCAACACGUCCUUCCCUUGUUCCCUCCCUAAUUUAGCCCUCUUCUCUGUAUCCUGUUCUACUGUCUUCUCUUACUUCAGUUUGAAAACAUCAAAGGGCCCUUAUGACCACCAGGUGUGACGUUGGUGUGAGGCCAGAUGCACAAUGGAUAAUUCAGCCCGCCAGUUGUUCCAGUCCACUUGGCGAGCUGGGAAUCCGAUCCAUCCAUCAUACGUCUAGGGUUUUCAUUGGCUGGUAAUGGACGUUCAGAAUCACACCUGGUGGUAAAAUAGAGGCCGUUUAAUGAUGGACGUCCAGACCACACAGGAGCGGCGUCUGUGAGGUCAUCCUUCAGCGGCGACGGCAGACGCCUGCUACGUUGGUGUAGCAGCCGGCUGAUGGAUUGGACUGCCGCCCGGAGAGAGCGCCUUCGGAGAACACGCUGUUCAAGGGGAGCAUAAAGGUGUGCCAAACCAGGAGAAGGAGUGCCCGGUGCUUGCGCAUACCAUCAUUGACGACAACGAAACCAGAAACACCAACACUUAGAACCACUUAGAACCACAGUUUAUCGUACUUUUUACUGCUUGAUUGUUCAACAAAAU